UUGUACCAAUGUCUUCCUAGGUACAGUGGCAUGACCUGCGAAAGUGUCACUAAUUCCCAUGGUGGGAACACCUGCCAACAUGGAGGUACCUGCCAUAAAGAUCCUAAAAGAUCACAAUGAGUGUUCUUCCAGUCCUUGUCACAAUGGGAAUGUGUUCCAGUAUGGAAUCAAUGGAUACUUCUGCUUCUGUGUGCCUCAAUACCAAGGCAGGCAUUGUGGCUUGAGAUUGGAGAAAUAAGUAUGUUUCUGAUUGCUGCAUAAAUGAGGAUAUAUGCCUCAAGAAGAUAGUAAGAUGUAUGUCUGUCUGUCCUCAAGAGUAAUAAUCUGGUGUGUACUGUGAGUUGGAAAUUGGUGAAUGUGGAUCCCAGCCAUAUCUACAUGGUGGCAUGUGUCAGGAUGCUUUGGCUUACUUACCUGUAUUCCUUGGAGACCACUAUGAAUUCAACUUUAAUGAAUAUGCCAUUCAACCAUGUCUCUAUGGAGAGCUAUGUAUGGAUGGAGGAAACAACUACUUCUGUGACUGAAGGGGUAGUGGAUUCACAGAAACAUACUGUGAGGCUUUGAUCUUCUUUGUUGGUCAAAGUCUUGUCACAAUGAUACAAUAUGUGAAGAUACACAGUUCUAGCAGAUGUGC
rnacentral:lncRNA from 1 species